rnacentral:lncRNA from 1 species
UCCCAUCACACUCCCCAGUGGUCAUGAGUUUCCCAAGAGAUCAGACGUGGCCAGCUGCACGCGUCCCACCCUGAAGCCUGUGCACAAAGACACUUCCUAGAGUGGGUGCGGGGGCCACCGGAGACACUGCUUUCUUUCCCAAGUCCCUGUGAAGUGUUUCUGUCUGAGUAUCUGGGUCUGUCAGCCCCUCUCUUCGACCUCGAAGCUCCCUCAGCCUUUGGGGUGGGUCUGCAUAGACCUGCCUGCCGGCAGGGCAGAGCCUUUCCACAAGGAAGGGGCAGCUGCUGAGGGACUGCCAACGUCUGUGUUUUCUUGCUGCACAGAGGGUCACCUGUCACCUGACCAGAUCACUGUACCUGAUGGGCUGCCUGUCACCUAAUGAGGUCACCUGGCACCUGAUGGGAUCAACUGGCACCUGAUGGGAUCAUCUGUCACCUAAUGAGGUCAUCUGUCACCUGAUGGGAUCACUGGUACCUGAUGGAAUCACCUGUUACUCGACAAGAUCACCUGACACCUGAUGGGCCACCAGCUCCCUUUCGGACCCCUUGGCUCCAGGAGGCCGUGGGACCUCAGCACCUUCUGGCUACAACAAUCCGGUAGCCCACGGAGCCGCGCGUCGCCCCCUGGGUGGUGGUGGAAGGAAAGGUCGGGCCCAGCAGCCCGUUGCUCAGCCGCUGAAGGCGCCACCCGGUGGCCGCGAGUGAGCCGGAGGCAUUCGUGUCCGCACUUGGCAAAGUCUGUCUUGGAACUGCUGAACUCGUUUGAAGCUUUUGUGGGAACAUGCAGCUGUUUCCCUAAUCCAGACUUUUGUGAUCAGCAACUCGGCGUCCUCAUGAGUGCAGCCGGCUGGGGGUGACCGGAAGCCUCUCCCCGCUCUGCAGUGACAGAGGGGUGCUGUCCCCAACCCCAGGGGCCUUCGCUUCCUACCCGCUUGUUACUGAAAUCAGGUAACACAUUGCUGAGGUAAAGUGGAAUAAAAUAAAAAGAAGCCACAAAAGCCAAAACCCAAAGCUGUCCCAAGCCUGGUAACACUUGUGAGCGGAGUGGCAGCCCCUCCUGUGGAGCCCUCGGUUCCUGUUGAACGGCAGGAGGAGCAGAAGCUGCUGUGUGCUCCAGGCCUCACCUCAUCCCCAGAAACCGCGCCCCCAAACGGGACAGCAGCAGCCGGAAACCCCAGAGGACCCACCACGGUCACCAGCCAGCCCUGGAAGAGAAAUCUCGCCGGUGUAGACGGCUUCUGUGUUGAUGCACAUGAACGGAGGUAUGUGGCUCUUGUUAGCUUUAAGCCUCUUACCUAAGGGUUUAUUGCCAUCAGCACCUUCUGGCUGAAAUAAUCCCCUAACCCCCUGCUCCGUGUGCCGCCCCCGUAAGGGGUAGAAGGAAAGGUCAGGCCCGCCAAACCUUUGUACGAUGCAUGAUGGUGACCGUGGGUUUCCAGCAUGUUCCGUGUAAUAGAAACAGUGCUUCGUCUGGGAGGGAGGACCUCCCCAGGGCCUCACGCCCGCCCAGCCUCCCAUGCCAGCCUCUCCGUGUCUGGGGGCGAGGUGCGGAGGUGGCCAGAGCGGAGCGUCUAGACGGAGGAGAAAAAAGCACAGCCUACAAAGAAGCUCUUCGUUCUCACUUCCACAGUCUCCUCACUCUUAAAAUCUUUUAAUUUUGAUUAAAAAUAAAAUGAAAAAUUAAACUUUUUAGCUGCCUCGACAGACUUAGCUGAAGUACCAAGCAUCUCGGGAGAAUAUAAAUAUAAAUAUUCAGCCAGCCAAAUACAGUUCAGGAAGAAUGAAGCAACUGUAGGCCAGGUGCUGUGGCUCAUGCCUGUAAUUCCAGCACUUUGGGAAGCUGAGGCGGGCGGAUCACGUGAGGUCAGGAGUUCGAGACCAGCCUGGCCAACAUAGUGAAACCUGUCUCUACAAAAAAUACAAAAGUUAGCUGGGCGUGGUGGCAGGUGCCUGUAAUCUCAGCUACUCAGGAAGCUCAGGCAGGAGAAUCACUUGAACCUGGGAGGUGGGGAUUGCAGUGAGCAGAGAUCAUGCCACUGUACUCCAGCCUGGGCAACAGAGUGAGACUCCAUCUCAGGAAAAAAAAAACAAAAAACAAAAAACGAACAAGGCGAUCGAUUCCACUUCAGAUGAAGCGGCAGGGAUUUUGUUUUAAUCAUGUCUGCAGUUUGCGUAUUUUCACACGUGACGUCUCUGUGGAUCAGAUGGCAGGCCGAGUCCCAGCGCCAGCCACUGAUCUGCCACGCAUUUCCUCCGCGUGCCCUAUGGGUCUGCCAGGGACGGUGCCAGCUCUCCAGCACCGGUUAGAUUUAUCACAGCCGUUUACACAGAGUUAGAAUUAAUCAGGGAAUGUCGCAAAUGUCAGAUCGUUAAAUGAAACGGUAAAAAGUAAAUUGUGGAUUCUGGCAAACAAGUAUUUCAUAAAAUAAGAUCCCUUGAUGAAAGAGCAAUUGCUGUAAAAUACGUACUUUUAUUACCACUUUAAGGGACACAGAUUAGCACUCUAAAAGUUUUAAAUCUGAUAUCCUGUUUGCCACAGACUGAAAUGGAAUUUGAUGUCUAAAAUAUUCCUAAAGGCGGAUUCAACAGUCAAUUAAAAGAUAGCAUUGCUAAGGGCGUGUGUGUGUGUGUGUGUGUGUGUGUGUGUGUGUGUAUUUAACGCAAGUCAGUCGUUCUUUGGAUUUUAAAAGCCUUUACAAAGUGUUUGGUGUGAUAGAUAAUGUGAGAGACGCUGAAAACUGAAGCUAUAAAAUCCAGGAAGCUUUACAAGGAACAGCGGAAUUGGCGUGAGGGGGCCGGGGACCCUUAGCGCUGAGUCCCCCACGCGCGCUCCUGCCGUCGGCAGUGACCAGUGAGCAGACAGUGACCAACAGUCUCAGAAAUUUCCCAAACUCACUCCUGUCUCCUUUCUGCGUUCGGUUCUAAUUGCACAGAAACGGUUUCUGUUUGCACGCGUUCACGCUGCUCACGUGGAACGUGGGUCUCGCUGCGGUGGCCAAGCUGACGGUGUAAGAGUGUGCGGGGACCGAGGCCGGGGCACCCGCAAGGCGCGGAAGCGCAGGGGAAGCUAAGGCGGCGGCAGCCGGGGCGCUGAGUUCAGAUUUUCUUCUCUGUUUAAGCCCCGAGACCCUAGGGGUGGAGGGGAGGAGAGAUUUGAGUACUUUUAAUUAGUUAAAAAUUUCUUUUUAAAAGCUGAUGCUGUUCGAUAAUUAACUUUCUCUAGAUCCUGCUGUUUCUUAAAUGGAAAAUUAAAGGCAAAUGGAAGCGUUGAAAAGAAGCAAAAUCUACGACAAAUGUCUUUUAUGAAAAGCCCACAUAGGCUUCACCAGAAUGAAGCCUCUCCCGCCCGGGGCUGGGGUUGUGUGGGGUGGGGGCUGGGGGUCCCAGCCGCCUUUGCAGGACCCUGGCAGGCUGGGCUCCCCCGAGUCCACUUGGACCCUCCCUCCGCCUUCACACCAGGACCCCAGCCUUGGGGCUCUGAGCAAGGUGGGCGGCUCCCGAGGGAGAAGCUGGGCGGCUGCAGGUGAGGGCUCUGGGCAGGGGACGGGGGGCAGUGGCACCGCCGGGCUUCCUCAUUCCAAAUGCUCUGUCUUCUCCAUUUCACCCACUAGUGUGGGAAAUUCCAUGGUGGGCCCCUGGUCUUGAGGCCUCUGCCAGCUGCAGAAGCUGUGGAAGGAGCGGGACAGGAGUCCUGGAACCCCCAGGCUCUGUCGCAGAGUCAUCAGUCACCCAGUGUCUCCGCCAGGCUCUGCGCUGGCUGUGGGGGUCCCCCGGGGUGUGGUCCGGAGGGCCUCACUCCCCACUCCUCGCCCUGUACCCCUCUCACCCGAGUGUGUCCCAGAUUCCACCUGCCAGAGCCCCGGAUGGUACCAGGUGUGUCGAGGUUCACAUGAGGUCCCGAGGCUGGGACCCCACCAGGGGAUCAGUGCCCUGUGCUCUGGGUGAGGAAGAGGCACCAGAGCUCCCUCUCUCAGCUGCUGGGUUACAGCGGGAAGGUGGUCAGCUGAGCCAGGAUCCGGCCCCGCCAGGAACUGAACCUGCUGUCCCCUCCGUCGUGGACGUCCAGCCCCCAGCAGUGAGUGCCCUUCGAGCCGCCCAGGCUGCAGUCAGCUACGGCGGCCUGAGCUGACCGACGCCCUUGGCCUCGGUGUGUGGGCACACGUGACUGCCUGCGAAGCCUCAGUGUGGACCGGGAGUGUCUGCCCUCUCAGAAAGUGCCACCGACCGGACCCUCCCCGGGGGGUGACAACAGCCCAUUGCCCUCAGGUCUACAGUGUCAGGUGUUGACAUACAUAUGUAUUUGUGUUUUUCUCUAGAAAGGCUGGAAACUCCUGGUUUCAGUCAGCACCGUUUGCUGUGGUGGUGACGCGACCUUUAGUGGUAACUCACUUGAUCCUUAAAUGGUUAAUCCUCGGUGGUCGUUACAGCCCCAUCGUCGGUGUCUGUGUCCGCUGGGCAUGCCUGGCAGGGGCUCGGGGCAGGUGGUGAAUGGAAGCACAGGUGAGUGGAGGUCUGGGGGUGCCUGGCACUUGCGGGGUCUGCCCUGCCACGUGAGUGUGUCCAGGACCCAGUUAGCAUCACCUUGGCAAGCCCCACAGACUUUUCUUUCUUUAUCACCAGCCUUUUUGAGCCGUAAUUCACAUAGAACACAAUCCACGCCUUUAAAACACACAGUUCCAUGAUUUUUAGCAUUCAGUGAUUUUUAUUCUAUUCACCGACAUAUGUAGUCACCACCACAGUCGAUUUAGAGCGUCUUCAUCAGCUCAGAAAGAAACCCCGCAUCUUCUGGUGGUCACGCCCCCAGCCCCCCGCACCCCUGCGGGCCUCAACAGCCACUCAGCGGCUUUCUGUCCCCAUGCAUUCUGGGUUCUGGGCUUUCUAGCCAGUGGGCUAGAAAGUGGCCUCCCUCCUGUCCGGCUGCUCCCCUCCCACCCUGUUUUAAGGCUCACCUGCGUCGUAGCAUGUGUGUGCUUUAUUCCUUUUAUUUUUAUUUGAAGAAGUUGCAGUAAAGGGCCUGGUUCGCUGGUUCGGGCCUGUAACCCCAGCGCUUUGGGAGGCCAAGCUGGGAGGACUGCUUGAAGCCAGAAGUUUGAGACUAGCUUGGGCAACAAAGGCCAGGUGUGGUUAUGCACCUGUAGUCUCAGCUACUUAGGGCGUGGAGGUGAGAGGAUCGCUUGAGCCCAGGAGGUUGAGGCUGCACUGAGCCGUGAUUACCCCCCUACGCUCCAACCUGGGUGACAGAUUGAGACCUUGUCUCAAAAAAAAAGCAUGUACUAAAGAUACAUAACAUAAAAUCUACCAUUCAAACCAUUUGAAAAUAUACAGCUCGGUAGUGUUAAGUACGUUUCAACCAUCACCACCAUCCAUCUCAGAACCUUCUCGUCUUUUCAAAAGGAAACUCUGUCCCCAUGAGACAUGAACUCCUCAUUCCCCUCCCACCAGUCCCUGGCACCCACCAUUCUACCUCUGUGUCAAUGAACUUGACUGCUGUAAACAUUAAUAUCUCACCUAAUUGGAAUCACAGAUAAUUUGUCUUUUUGUGACUGGCUUAUUUUGCUUAACAUAAGG